rnacentral:rRNA from 1 species
UACGGAGGGUGCGAGUGUUAUUCGGAAUCACUGGGCGUAAAGAGCACGUAGGCGGAUCGGUAAGUCAGAUGUGAAAUCCCGGAGCUCAACUCCGGAACUGCAUUUGAUACUGCUGGUCUUGAGUGAGGUAGAGGGGGGUGGAAUUCCCGGUGUAGAGGUGAAAUUCGUAGAUAUCGGGAGGAACACCAGAGGCGAAGGCGACCCCCUGGGCCUCUACUGACGCUGAGGUGCGAAAGCGUGGGGAG